UACGAAGGGGCUAGCGUUGCUCGGAAUCACUGGGCGUAAAGCGCACGUAGGCGGCUUCUUAAGUCAGGGGUGAAAUCCUGGAGCUCAACUCCAGAACUGCCUUUGAUACUGAGGAGCUUGAGUCCGGGAGAGGUGAGUGGAACUGCGAGUGUAGAGGUGAAAUUCGUAGAUAUUCGCAAGAACACCAGUGGCGAAGGCGGCUCACUGGCCCGGUACUGACGCUGAGGUGCGAAAGCCAGGGGAGCGAACGGG
rnacentral:rRNA from 1 species